rnacentral:rRNA from 1 species
UUGAAGAGUUUGAUCAUGGCUCAGAUUGAACGCUGGCGGCAGGCCUAACACAUGCAAGUCGAACGGUAACAGGAAGAAGCUUGCUUCUUUGCUGACGAGUGGCGGACGGGUGAGUAAUGUCUGGGAAACUGCCUGAUGGAGGGGGAUAACUACUGGAAACGGUAGCUAAUACCGCAUAAUGUCGCAAGACCAAAGAGGGGGACCUUCGGGCCUCUUGCCAUCGGAUGUGCCCAGAUGGGAUUAGCUAGUAGGUGGGGUAACGGCUCACCUAGGCGACGAUCCCUAGCUGGUCUGAGAGGAUGACCAGCCACACUGGAACUGAGACACGGUCCAGACUCCUACGGGAGGCAGCAGUGGGGAAUAUUGCACAAUGGGCGCAAGCCUGAUGCAGCCAUGCCGCGUGUAUGAAGAAGGCCUUCGGGUUGUAAAGUACUUUCAGCGGGGAGGAAGGGAGUAAAGUUAAUACCUUUGCUCAUUGACGUUACCCGCAGAAGAAGCACCGGCUAACUCCGUGCCAGCAGCCGCGGUAAUACGGAGGGUGCAAGCGUUAAUCGGAAUUACUGGGCGUAAAGCGCACGCAGGCGGUUUGUUAAGUCAGAUGUGAAAUCCCCGGGCUCAACCUGGGAACUGCAUCUGAUACUGGCAAGCUUGAGUCUCGUAGAGGGGGGUAGAAUUCCAGGUGUAGCGGUGAAAUGCGUAGAGAUCUGGAGGAAUACCGGUGGCGAAGGCGGCCCCCUGGACGAAGACUGACGCUCAGGUGCGAAAGCGUGGGGAGCAAACAGGAUUAGAUACCCUGGUAGUCCACGCCGUAAACGAUGUCGACUUGGAGGUUGUGCCCUUGAGGCGUGGCUUCCGGAGCUAACGCGUUAAGUCGACCGCCUGGGGAGUACGGCCGCAAGGUUAAAACUCAAAUGAAUUGACGGGGGCCCGCACAAGCGGUGGAGCAUGUGGUUUAAUUCGAUGCAACGCGAAGAACCUUACCUGGUCUUGACAUCCACGGAAGUUUUCAGAGAUGAGAAUGUGCCUUCGGGAACCGUGAGACAGGUGCUGCAUGGCUGUCGUCAGCUCGUGUUGUGAAAUGUUGGGUUAAGUCCCGCAACGAGCGCAACCCUUAUCCUUUGUUGCCAGCGGUCCGGCCGGGAACUCAAAGGAGACUGCCAGUGAUAAACUGGAGGAAGGUGGGGAUGACGUCAAGUCAUCAUGGCCCUUACGACCGGGCUACACACGUGCUACAAUGGCGCAUACAAAGAGAAGCGACCUCGCGAGAGCAAGCGGACCUCAUAAAGUGCGUCGUAGUCCGGAUUGAGUCUGCAACUCGACUCCAUGAAGUCGGAAUCGCUAGUAAUCGUGGAUCAGAAUGCCACGGUGAAUACGUUCCCGGGCCUUGUACACACCGCCCGUCACACCAUGGGAGUGGGUUGCAAAAGAAGUAGGUAGCUUAACCUUCGGGAGGGCGCUUACCACUUUGUGAUUCAUGACUGGGGUGAAGUCGUAACAAGGUAACCGUAGGGGAACCUGCGGUUGGAUCACCUCCUU